rnacentral:rRNA from 1 species
GACUAGAGUACUGUAGAGGGGGGUAGAAUUUCAGGUGUAGCGGUGAAAUGCGUAGAGAUCUGAAAGGAAUACCGGUGGCGAAGGCGGCCCCCUGGACAGAUACUGACACUCAGAUGCGAAAGCGUGGGGAGCAAACAGGAUUAGAUACCCUGGUAGUACACGCCGUAAACGAUGUCUACUUGGAGGUUGUGGCCUUGAGCCGUGGCUUUCGGAGCUAACGCGUUAAGUAGACCGCCUGGGGAGUACGGUCGCAAGAUUAAAACUCAAAUGAAUUGACGGGGGCCCGCACAAGCGGUGGAGCAUGUGGUUUAAUUCGAUGCAACGCGAAGAACCUUACCUACUCUUGACAUCCAGAGAACUUAGCAGAGAUGCUUUGGUGCCUUCGGGAACUCUGAGACAGGUGCUGCAUGGCUGUCGUCAGCUCGUGUUGUGAAAUGUUGGGUUAAGUCCCGCAACGAGCGCAACCCUUAUCCUUGUUUGCCAGCACUUCGGGUGGGAACUCCAGGGAGACUGCCGGUGAUAAACCGGAGGAAGGUGGGGACGACGUCAAGUCAUCAUGGCCCUUACGAGUAGGGCUACACACGUGCUACAAUGGCGCAUACAGAGGGCGGCCAACUUGCGAAAGUGAGCGAAUCCCAAAAAGUGCGUCGUAGUCCGGAUUGGAGUCUGCAACUCGACUCCAUGAAGUCGGAAUCGCUAGUAAUCGUGGAUCAGAAUGCCACGGUGAAUACGUUCCCGGGCCUUGUACACACCGCCCGUCACACCAUGGGAGUGGGCUGCAAAAGAAGUGGGUAGUUUAACCUUCGGGAGGACGCUCA